GUUUGAGAGGGACAGCUGAAAGAUAAGAGGAAGAAAAGGUACACUGGAUUUCUAGGAAAAUCCAGCAAGCCAGUGGAUUACAUUUCAUCUCCUUUGAUCGGGUCAUUGGCAAAUGGAAACUGCCGAUGAAGAGGAAUUUCUUGGAACGUUUCUCCGGGGCAAAUGAGAGAGAUGGCUAACGAAUUGAAAUUGAAUUGCAUGACUCAAGACUUGAGAAAUCAACACGAACGUUCGAAAGAAGGCUGCGUAUUACUCCUGCCGAUUCAACAAAUCAACAUGGAAUUACAAGAAGGGUCCAACUGGAUUAAUUAGAGAAUCGACGAGAAUUGAAUCACAAUCGAACUAGAUGCAUCCGUAUAGAUUUGAGUCGAGGAAAUCACAUAUAUUGUGGCAAGUUACACCCAUCAGGACUUAAAUUCUUUGGUAGGAGCCAAGUUCAUGUUCAAGUGGAGUAUGGUAUUUAGGGGAAGAGAUGGAGUACCGGCUACCCACCACUGCUCCUACCGUGCCCGAUUGAGUACAACAGUGUUAAAAUCAGCAAAUGGCCCGUUCCACCCAAUUGCCUGAAAAACAAUAACAAUUAGCAUAUAUGUGGGAUGGAACAACUACUAAGGGGGCUCAAAUUCAAUUGCCUCUAGCUUUAUUUGCGAUGCCAUGGAACCAAUCAUUUUGCUGUCCAUUUGCCAUCUCUGGUCUUUGCCGUGUAUGAAGUCUGAGACCACAUCUAUGAUUGUUUUCUUUGGUUUUUAGACUACAUGCAUUAAGGUAAUCGACAGUGUUAUCCUUUCUUAAAAUAAUAAUAAUUGUCUUAAUUUGAAUUUUUGUUUAUGUAAGAAAAUAUAUAGAUUAUAGCUUCACAUAUUUGUAGGUUGAAAGUAAAAAUUUUGUCAGGAUAAUGCUACCCUUUCAAUUUCAAUUAUAAGGAUAAAAGAGAAUAAAAUAAGCCAAAGAUAGAAAUACUCUGAGUGAAUUCUUUCACUAUCAAGAACCUGAACAGCAAAUAGUUCAAUAUAUACUUUAAUCUUCACUAAUAUUCAACUAGGGGAGCAAAUUUGACCCUUAGGGAUCCACUCUAUUUCCAAUCAAUCGUCGUCAAAGAAAAAGGUAAUUCUUAAUCCAGAACUCUUGAGGAUCUAUACAACUGCUCCUGUCCUUUGCUUUUGAAUUUCAUGACUGAAAUUUGUCAAGACCUCCCAAGCACAAAAAGCCUUCCUCCUCAUUCCUGUGGGUUGUUCUUUUUUCUCAAUGCCACCCGACCCGGGCUUCCGGGGAAAAUAAAAGAUGCAAGGAAGGCUAACUUCCUAAAUAAAAGCAGGGCUUCAAACAAAUGGACUGUUAAUUGGUAGUACAUGCCAUGCAGCAAUUUCAGGGAAGUAAUUUAAUUAGAUCUGGUACACCAUAGAAAAUCUAAGAGACGAAAGAAAAAAGAAUUACAGCAAAGAACAUUAGUGGUGGCUAUAUGCUUUACGUGACGACAUCCAUGCUCCUUGGAGGUUUUCUUGGAACAGCGGUGUUAAAAUGCAAAUGGGGUCAAAUUAUGUAUGCUUUCUUGCUGGAAUACAACUCUGAGAAGUAUGCAACUUUGAGUUGUUGGAGCAGUUGGCUAUGACCCUUGCUCUUUUAUGUCUUCUUACUUUUCUGCUUUUCGGUUUCUUAAAAUAUACAUUGAAUGAGAAAAUAAUUGAGUUCCUGAUCUGAAAAGCAAAUGAUGUA